AUCCAGCCGACGGGUCCCAAAUAGGACGAAAUGUAUUUUGUCCUGAAU
rnacentral:hammerhead_ribozyme from 1 species